UAGUAUUUUUGAACGUCACAUUGUUAUCAGAGCAUCCCGUUACCUGGAACUCUCUUUUAAUUUACAGCUGAUGUCAGUGUUAGUGGGAUGGAUACCUUCUGGAGCAUUUCUUGUUGUUCAACAAAUCCGGUAGUGGUUGUAUUUUCCAGUAUGAAGAUGAUGUAAUUGCAAGAGACAAUUGAGCCACUCUCUGAGCCAAGAAACAGGGCUGGCUGGCCCCUGCAGAACACACCUGGGAAUAACUGAGCCAGGCACUGGAU
rnacentral:lncRNA from 1 species